CACACAGGUGUCCCCGUGGCACACAGGUGUCCCCGUGGCAGACAGGUGUCCCUGUCCCCAUGGCACAUAGGUGUCCCCAUGGCACACAGGUGUCCCCGUGGCACACAGGUGUCCCCGUGGCAGACAGGUGUCCCUGUCCCCAUGGCACAUAGGUGUCCCCAUGGCACACAGGUGUCCCCGUGGCACACAGGUGUCCCUGUCCCCAUGGCACACAGGUGUCCCUGUGGCACACAGGUGUCCCUGUCCCCGUGGCACACAGGUGUCCCCGUGGCAGACAGGUGUCCCUGUCCCCAUGGCACAUAGGUGUCCCCAUGGCACACAGGUGUCCCCGUGGCACACAGGUGUCCCUGUCCCCAUGGCACACAGGUGUCCCUGUGGCACACAGGUGUCCCUGUCCCCGUGGCACACAGGUGUCCCCGUGGCAGACAGGUGUCCCUGUCCCCAUGGCACAUAGGUGUCCCCGUGGCAAUCCUCCGGGGGCUGCGGGGGGACCGGGACCCUCCGCGGGUUGCGGGCAUGGGGACCCCCGGGGCUGUGGGGGAAUCGGGACCCUUCGGGGGGUGCGAGGGGACCCCGAAUCCUCCGGGGGUUGUGAGGGGAUCGGGACUCUCCGGGGUCUGUGGAGGAGGAUCAGGACCCUCAAGGGGUGCGAGCGGACCCCGAAUCCCCCGACACCGCGAGGGCACGGGGAGCCCCCCCCGGGGCUGUGAGGGGACCGCGACCCCCGGGGCUACGAGAGGAUCGGGACCCUCCGGGGCUGCGAGGGGAACCCGAACCGCGAGGGGACCGGGACCGUCCGGGGGCUGUGAGGGGAUCGGGACCCCCCGGCGGGUGCGGGGCGAUCGGGACCCCCCGGCCCGGGGCCGGGGGGGGGGGGGGGGGGGGGGGGGGGGGGGGGGGGGGGGCCCCCCCGGCCCGGGGCCGCCCCUCCCUCACCCCCGCGCCCCCAGGACAUCCUGGAGAACGAGAGCAUCACCCUGGACUGGAUGUUCCGCUACUCCCUCACCAACGACAUCGUCAAGGGGAUGCAGUUCCUGCACAGCGGGGUUUUCGUGUCCCACGGGAACCUCAAGUCCUCCAACUGCGUGGUGGAUUCGCGCUUCGUGCUCAAGAUCACGGACUACGGGCUCGAGAGCUUCCGCCCGGCAACGGACGGCGACGACAGCCACGCGCUGUUCGCCAGUGAGACCCCGGGUGUCCCCGAGUGUCAGGGUGUCCCCCCAGUGUCCCCAGGGUGUCCCCAGGGUGUCCCCAGGGUGUCCCCGGGUGUCCCUGAGUGUCCUCGAGUGUCCCCGAGUGUCCCCCAGUUCCUCCCGAGUGUCCCCCCGUGUCCCCAGGGUGUCCCCGGGUGUCCCCAGGGUGUCCUCGAGUGUCCCCCAGUUCCUCCCGAGUGUCCCCCCAUGUCUCCAGGGUGUCCCCGAGUGUCCCUGAGUGUCCCCGAGUGUCCCUGAGUGUCCCCGGGUGUCACUGAGUGUCCCCGAGUGUCCCCAGGGUGUCCCCCCAUGCCUCCAGGGUGUCCCCAAGGUGUCUCCCCGUGUCGCCGAGUGUCCCCCAGUGCACCCCGGGUGUCCUCCGAAUGUCCCCAGGGUGUCCCCAAGCGUCCCCAGAGUGUCCCCGGGAUGUCCCCGCGUAUCCCCAGGGUGUUCCCCCGUAUACCCAGGAUGUUCCCAGGGUGUCUCCAGGUCCCCAGGGUGUCCCCAGAGUGUCCCCCCGUGUCCCCCCAUGUCCCCAGGGUGUCCCCAAGCUUCCCGACAGUGUCCCCGGGGUGUCCCCGCGUAUCCCCGGGGCGUCUCCCCGUGUCCCCAGGGUGUUCCCCCGUGUCCCCAGGUGUCUCCCCGUGUCCCCAGGGUGUUCCCCCGUGUCCCCAGGUGUCUCCCCGUGUCCCCAGGGUGUUCCCCCGUGUCCCCAGGUGUCUCCCCGUGUCCCCAGGGUGUUCCCCCGUGUCCCCAGGUGUCUCCCCGUGUCCCCAGGGUGUUCCCCCGUGCGUCCCGAGAGUGUCCCCAGGGUGUCUCCCCGUGUCCCCAGGGUGUUCCCCCGUGUCCCCAGGGUGUCUCCAGGUCCCCAGGGUGUCCCCAAGCGUCCCGAGAGUGUCCCCAGGGUGUCUCCCCGUGUCCCCAGGGUGUCCCCCGGGUGUCCCCGCGUUGUCCCGGGCCUGACCCGGUGCCGGUUCCAGAGAAGCUCUGGACGGCGCCGGAGCUGCUGCGCAUGGAGGAGCCGCCGGCGCGCGGGACGCAGAAAGGCGACGUGUACAGCUUCGGCAUCAUCCUGCAGGAGAUCGCGCUGCGCUGCGGCGUCUUCUACCGGGAGGGCGCCGAGCUGAGCCCCAAAGGUCAGCGAGACACGGGGGGACACCCUGGGGACACGGGGGGACACGGGAGGACACGGGGGGACACCCUGGGGCACGGGGGGGACACGAGGAGACACAGGGAGACAUCCUGGGGACACGGGGAGACACCCUGGGGACACGGAGGGGACAGAGGGGGACAGCUGGGGACACGGGGGAACACCCUGGGACACGGAGGGGACAUCCUGGGGACACGGGGAAACACGGGGAAACACGAGGAGACACCCUAGGGACACGGGGGGACAUGAGGAGACAUCCUGGAGACACGGGGGAACGUCCUGGGGACACGGGGGAACACGAGGAGACACCCUGGGGACACGGUGGGGACACCCUGGGGCACGGUGGGGACAUGAGGAGACACAGGGAGACAUCCUGGGGACAUGGGGGAACACCCUGGGGACACGGGGGGACACGGAGAGACCCCUGGGGACACGGGGGGACACGGAGAGACCCCUGGGGACAUGGAGGGGACACCUAGGGACACUCUGGGGACACCCUCGGCUCCUGGACUCUCUGAUGGGUUCCUGAACCCAUGAAUGGGUCCCUGGACCCUCUGAUGAGUUCCUGGAACCAUUAAUGGUUCCCCGGACCCCCUGAUGUGUCCCCAGAACCCCUGAUGGGUCCCUGGACCCUCUGAUGUUUCCCCGGGCCCCCUGAUGAGUCCCCGGGCCCCCCGAUGUGUCCUCGGACCAUGUGCAGGGUCCCCGGGCCCCCCGAUGUGUCCCUGGAUCCCCUGAUGAGUCCCCGGACCCCCCGAUGUGUCCCCGGACCCCCCGAUGUGUGGGGGGGGGGGGGGGGGGGGGGGGGGGGGGGGGGGGGGGGGGGGGGGGGGGGGGGGGGGGGGGGGGGGGGGGGGGGGGGGGGGGGGGGGGGGGGGG
ensembl:lncRNA